rnacentral:lncRNA from 1 species
CACGGGUGGCUCCCAUCAGGUCAGGAGUUGUACCUCUGUGUCACCUCGCCCUGCAAUGCUGUUCUACUGCACAAGAGGGAACAAAAGGGAAAACACGCUUGUCCUGGUUGCUGCUCCUCCACCUCAGGAGCAGAGAAGGCUGCCUCUGGAAGUACAGCAAAUGAGAGGGUGGCGCUUACAUGGAAACUACUUCACAAACACACGAAAGACAACAGAAAUAAUAAAACUUGUAGAAUUUUUUAUUAUGGAUGUCACAGCUUGCUACUCUAAAAACACUCAACACCUAUAAAUACACUCAAUAAAUGCUUAUAUUUCAAGUGGUGGUGAACCUAUGGCACGUGUGUUGUUUUUCUUUUAAGACCAAAGAUGUUAAUGUAUGAGUUGUUUUUUCUAAACUGAAACCUCAGUAUUCAGGUUUAACUGUAGUGUUGGAACUUCAUGAUAAAUAAGUGAGUUUUGGGUUCCGGUUUGGACACUCAGUAAAAGCAUCACUGUCACUGGCUUAUAAGAUCAAAAUUAUUUCACUAUCAUCUGUCAGAGUUACCUGAGGAAUAGCUGCAGGGCAAUUGUUACUCUGGAGACAAAUCUUUAAAUAGGCACAAAUCCUACAGCAUGAGUAGUCAUUACUACAGUAUUUCUAGUUCUCAAAUUCUAGACAGUAUUUAUAGGAGAAACAGUACCAACAAUAUUCUAGAAGUAAAUAUGCUCAGGUUUAGCUAAAUCUUAACUUCCACAGGUAUGUCUGAGUUAUAAUUUUGCCAAUGUAAAAGAUAAACUCUUCUCUACAAAUGUAAAAAAGGAAAAAAAAAUCCUCGUACGCACACUUAAUACACAUCUACUCGUAGGUCCUGACAGCUGUCAGUAUCUUAUUUACGCUGUUAAAUACUUGCCAUAACAUGCUAACAACAUUCUUGAAAGGAAGUCUCUAAUUGUGAGUGUGCAGAUAUAGUUAUAAAUUAUAAAUGAACAUAAAAUUAGAAAAUUGCUUUUGGAAUGCUAUAUAAACAAGAGAAAUUCUGUUUCAGUAAGAGAAAAACUGUUGAAAAAUUUGUUUUU